GAAGCUCAACAAUGCACGAAACAAGCUCAAUCUUUAGUUGCCAUGGAUGCUUCAACCUUUGCGCCUAGCUCAAACAGCCACAAUUCCUCUUGCUUACACGUCCAAAUGCGUUCAAAUAUGCCCCAUGAUGAUGAAUGGAUCAAGGAAAAAUGCUUGUGUUUGAAGGAUUUUGCAGAAAAAGUGAGAGAAGAAUUUGGAGAUUUUUGU
rnacentral:lncRNA from 1 species